AGGACUGCCCUACAUUUGGCCUGUGCCACUGGCCAACUGGAAGUCAUAUCUCUCCUGGUGUCCAGAAGAUGUGAGCUUAACCUCUACGACCGUGAAUGCAGGACACCUCUGAUCAAGGCUGUACAACUGAGGCAGGAGGUUUGUGCAACUAUUCUGCUGAAAAAUGGUGCUGAUCCAAAUAUUAUGGGUUUCUAUGGAAGGACUGCUCUACACUAUGCUGUGUAUAAUGAAGAUACAUCCAUGAUAGAAACACUUCUUUUACAUGGUACAGAUAUUGAAGAAUGCAGCAAGGUAUAGAUCAACCAACAUUAUUUUCAAACUAUCUGAAAUACAUUUAUUUUAACGUUGACACAUGUAAGAGUCAAUUUUUCAUAUUUGGAAGCUCAAACAUUCCUUGAAUGAAAAUACUUUGAAAUGCC